rnacentral:lncRNA from 1 species
GGACAACCUACUGCUAGGCUGAGACAAGCCUGCGGUCAUGGAGGGUGAUAGAUAAGGGCUGGAAUGGAGCCUUGGGGCAUUCAGAGAGGAGAGAAAGGGUAGUGAGCUGGAUCCAAUGGCCUUUCAGCAUAAUGCAGGGUGGGGAGGUGAAAGAGGACAGCUGGUGUCAGCCUCAGCCUUCCCAGAGUGUCCCCCAAAGUGACCACCAGCCACAGGAGUCAGGGUGAGGAGUGCAUAGCCGUGUCCCUUGUGCUGUGUCACUGUGAGGGAUCCUGAGCAGCUCCUGGUUGAUGGGCACCUGUACUGACUGUGAGUACGUGGGUACAAGAGUGUGAGCAAAAGCAGGCUUGUUUUUAAAAUAAAACCCCUCUCCUCUUCCAAAGUCUCCUCUUGAGAUAGGCUUCUAUCAUCGUUACCCAACGCAGGAGUGUUUCCUAUGCCAGGAAUGCAGAGCGCUCAUCAGCGCAUCAGUGCUUAAAUCUGCAAGAUCAAAAAGGUGCAAUCUUACUCCCUUCUAAGGGUAGAGGAGUCCAAAGAAGAUACUCAAAGCCCAGACUUAAAAACCAUUUGAGCAUUUGAAGAAAAAAACCCACGGGUGAUACAGAUACAACCAAACUGCUGGGCACUCCAAAAAAAGUGGAGAACAGCUAUGAAAACUGGAUAUAAAUCUGACUCCUCCGCGCUGCCAAAUACGCACUGUCGCUCGGGGUUUGUUCUAUUGAUUCAUGAGAAAGAUGACGGCACUCUCUCACGUAAUAAUCUCCGUGACUGCUGCUGCUCACACCAGGUGUUCUGGACGGGACCGCCUGCAGGCUGGGGCAGCUCCCAGCUCACUGUCACCGCCUCUUCUGUUUGCGUUAUGGGUUACUGCAUGGCCAAGAUCCACACUGCGCAACACCACGUGGACUUCAUACAAAUGUAUGAACCUUCCCCACAGCGUUUGCAGAGAUGAGAGCUGGCACCUUGGGCAGACUGGUGUCUGGGAUGCUGGAAUGAGAAAGGAACUGAGCAAGCAGACGCGCAGUUGACUCAGGAGGUGCCAUUGCUGGGGCUUCAAAAUCGCUGUGCAAACAAAGCCUGCUCCUCAGCCAGCUGCUUCCCAGACUCUACUGGCACAUGGGGCCACUCCAACCCACAUCUCUAUUCAGCUCCAGGAUGUUUCUGUCCGCCUGACAUUGUCCAAGUCCUGCUCAAUGGAAGCGCUGGUGCUCACCCCACCAACCACCUCAUCUGCUGUUGUCUGCACAUUUGCAGAGGAUGCUUCUGCCUCUUGUGGGAUCCACCACUAGACAUCUCCUGGCACCAUUUCCUGCACUUUCACACACUCUUCUCCCUGGCAAAGCUCUUUUAAGCGGUCCCUGCUGCAGGCUUCCCUCCCUUUCCCUCCCCACUUGUGCUGACACAGCUGUUUGGGGGCAGGCUGGCAAACCAGAUUGGUGGGCGGAUGUGGGAUACACGCGGCCCUCACAGAUAUUUUUGUCCCAGCUGCAGAU